rnacentral:lncRNA from 1 species
UACAGUAGUCGCUAAAAUCAUCCAAAGGAAGGGGAAAACAAUAGCAGAAGCAAGCCGAUUAGCAUACAAUAAGAAACAAUGGUCAACAUUUGUACACACGUGAAAGGAUGUGCCAGUCCCGACACUGAAAAGUAAAAGGGACUCAAAAGACUAUAUAUAUAUAACUAUCACUAUGCCUUACAAUUGUUGUGUGCCAGAGUGAAAUUUGGUUUCGAAUAAAACCGAAAAUGUAAAAUUUCAUAAAUUCCCAUUGAAUAAAGAUCUAGAAAAACGAUGGUUGAUUGCUAUCAGGUCUGGAAAAAGGAUUAGCAAACAUACAAAAAUCUGUUCCAGGCACUUUUCAGAUGAAAAUUAUACAGUUACAAGUUUGGGACAAUGGAGGAUUCUUAAAAAAGAUGUGGUACCUUCUUUGAAUUUACCAAAAAGAAAAUUGGAUACUCAAGUGAAGGACUCUGGGAGAAGUAGAAAAAGACUCUGUACAACAGUAUUGCCACUAAACAAAA